CACCAAGGUUGAUAUCUAGAAGCAUCACAUCAAUACUCUUACUCCAGAAACGUGACUAUCCAUACUAGUGUUCAGCCAUCGGACCAUCGUCAUGAAACAUGAUCCGACCACUAGACUUGAUAAGCCAUCGUCCACUUAGCAUGUACUGAUACAACCGGCCUUCCAUUGCCAUCAUGUGGGUCUACUCCCUACAUAAGGCAUAUGGCGCCUAUCCUACUUACCAACCCAAAGUUGAUUGUAAGAUUUCCUACUUAGCCUUUGCGGCUAGAACCA
rnacentral:lncRNA from 1 species